CUUCCUGGCGCAAUUUCUAUCACCUGUUUUUUCCCCUAGAGCAGUGAAUACGAACCUCACAUUUCAGGAACAAAAUGAUCAGAGAAAGGUGUUAAAACCAUGGCUCCGCUCUAGUAACCACAGUAGCCACAGCAGUUAACCACUCACUUUUUAUCCACCAGGUUUUAAAAGCACUGUGUAACGUUAUCUCAGGCUUCAGAGUCCUUAUGGUGGAUAAUGUCGUUAAUUUAAUUUUACAUAAGAAGUAACAGAUCUUUCGAAGUUAAUCCAUUUCUCCGCUCAAAAUCAAUUGAUUGCUGGUCCAUUUUUGUCCAAACCUCUCUUCUAAAUUACAAUCUCUCCAUAGUUCUGCGGACACGACUUCUUUCAAAAACAUUUUCAUUCGGUUACUCUGUUGGACAGCAUCACAUUUCGGGCAUGCAGAGGAUAUAUAUUACUUAUUAAAUAUUAUAAGGUGGGAGCUAGAGAGAUGGCUCAGAGGUUAAGGGCAUUGCCUGCUCUUCCAAAGGUCCUGAGUUCAAUUCCCAGCAACCACAUGGUGGCUCACAACCAUCUGUAAUGGGGUCUGGUGCCCUCUUCUGGCCUGCAGGCAUACACACAGACAGAAUAUUGUAUACAUAAUAAAUAAAUAAAUGUUUAAAAAAAAAAGAUCCCCCUUUUCCCUUUGGACUGUCUCUCCACACACCACAGGGCUGGGUCACAGGUGCCUGCAGCCACACCUGUGCUCAUACCACGGGACCACCUCCUCAGCCCCAACUUUUGUAGUUCUGAGGUGAUGCCAUCAAGAAGUCUUUCAACUCAGUUAUUGUACAUCAAUCAAGAAAGUGACAAUAACCCCUGGGUUGGCCCCAGCGACUUAUGCAAUGAUCUCCUUCUACCCUGACAGCGACUGUGUCUCUGCCCACUCUGCGCCCUUAGCAUCCAUCCUAGCAAAUCACACUGCUUCCAGCCUCGUCCAAGGAAGAACAGCCCUGUGAGUCACAGCAGUGAUGCCUUCGACCUCAACUUCCUAAAACUAAAUUUACUUUCCAUGCUUAUUUUAAAUAAAUAUUAAUACACAAUUAAAUUGGUACCACACUUUGCAAAUAUCAUUGAUAUCCAUUCUUUAUUUAAAAGCUUCCACAGCUGGGUAUGGCAGCUGUCUGUAAUCCCAAUAUUCAGGAGGCUGGGCAGGAGGUUCAUGAGUUGAAGGCCAACCUGGACUACCCAAUAAGUUCCAUCCAGACCAGGCUGACAUUGUCUCAAAAAAAAAAAAGAAAAGAAA